UUCACCAAUUGACUGCGAGAAAAUAAUCAUCCUUGGAGAAUGCAUAUUCAAUUAAUAGCUUUGAAAAAAAGUAUCCUAACCAAACUCCUGCAACUUUCCCCAAGAAGAACAGGAAGAGGUCACAGAAAAAAGUAAAAGGUCCACUGGAGAUUCAAUUACUUCUAGGGGUAAGAUAUCGGAACUCCUAGCUCCAGGGAUGCAAUCUAUGCCCGUGCCUGUUCUAGAUUCGAAUCAAGAUCCAGAUGGCAGAUUAUGAGAAACUUAGACAGGCAAGGAUAGAAGAAAAUAGAAUAAGAAUGAAGGAUUUGGGGGUAACAUCAAUGACUUAUGAAAUGACAGUCAAUGAAGGGAUCACAACAAACGGAAAAAAAGUAAGAUGCAUACGAAGAAGGUGAAUAAAGAUACUGACGAGUAUACACCUGAUGAAGUGGGUGAAUUGAACCACUCAAGUGUAGAGGAUGAAAAUGAGAUAAGGAAAAACGGUGUAAACUUGAGGUCUCGUUCAAAGAAGGUUUUUGCAUUGAGAGGGAAGAUUCCCGCAAACAUUAAAGACACAACAAGUGUCUCUUCAGUAGCAAUGGCAAAUAUAGUUAAGAUGUGUCAUCCUUAGCACUUGUGUACAAAGAAAGUCGUAAAUGGAAAGCAAGCGAAACAUACAAAACAUCUUAUGAGCCCACCCAAAGUAACAUUGACAAGAUGGAGGAGGUCCAAAUGCAAAGUGAAAUUGAUGGAGAUGUUGCAUACUAUGAAGUAAUGAAUAAACCAAAUAACUUAGGCCAUAGAAAAAAGCAACUGGGGAUAUGUUCAAUCAGGGAAACAACAGCAAACCAAUAAUUCUCGAUGAAUUCUUAAAGCUCUAUGAAGAUCAAAUUGUGAAAGAUAUUGUAGCAUAAUUAUUGAAGAUGCUCAAGCAAGUUGAUCCUGAAGUGUUGGAUACUUUGACUCGAUCACUUAGAAAUGUGUCAUCUAAUCCAGAACUUACAUAUCAUUUUCGCAAUGUACACUCUUUUGACCAAGAGAAAAAUCAAGUAAUAGUUAAUAUAUUCUCUUUUAGAAAGCGCUAACUAACAAUCUUGCAUUAAUUAUUGCAUUUUUUGUUCUGGUUGUUUGAUAUAUGAUGCGUUUACACAUAUGUAGGAUCCAAUGGAUCAAGUUGAAGGAUUAGAGUAACAACUAGCAAGUAAUGAUGCAACAAGAAACAUGUUUGCAUAUAUGUAGCUGCCAAUGUUUGGGGAGAUAAAUAAUACAAGAUCGACAACUCAGAUAAACUUUUUUUUUCUGGUAUCGAAAAGUUUUGGAGCAAUCUGAUGUCUGUUUACUGUUGUUGUUUGCUGCCUGCUAUGACUGUUGUUGUUUGUUGUCUGAUGUGUGUUGUUGCUGUUACCGCUAGCUGCUGUUAUCGCUAGUUGCUGUUACUGCUAGCUGCUGUUAUUACUACUAGCUGCUGCUGUUACUAUUGCAGGCUGUGUUUCUGGUGUUUGUUUGUUACUGCUGUUUUUUUGCUGCUGCUGGUUACUGGUCGCUGCUGCUGCUGCUGAUGUCUGUUUGUAACUACUGCUGACUGUUAUUUUUCUCUUUGUGUUUUAGAAUUUGGUGGUCAUGAGUCCGAAGCUGACUUUUUUUUGUACUGAGUAUUAUA